rnacentral:rRNA from 1 species
UACAGAGGUCCCGAGCGUUGUUCGGAUUCACUGGGCGUAAAGGGUGCGUAGGUGGCCUGAUAAGUUUGAUGUGAAAGCUCAGGGCUUAACCCUGAAAUGGCAUUGAAUACUGUCGGGCUGGAGGUUUGGAGGGGGGACUGGAAUUCUUGGUGUAGCAGUGAAAUGCGUAGAUAUCAAGAGGAACACCAGUGGCGAAGGCGAGUCCCUGGACAACACCUGACACUGAGGCACGAAAGCUAGGGGAGCAAACAGG